rnacentral:rRNA from 1 species
AGAGUUUGAUCCUGGCUCAGAUUGAACGCUGGCGGCAGGCCUAACACAUGCAAGUCGAGCGGUAACACAGAGGAGCUUGCUCCUUAGGUGACGAGCGGCGGACGGGUGAGUAAUGCCUGGGGAUCUGCCCGAUAGAGGGGGAUAACUACGGGAAACUGUAGCUAAUACCGCAUAACGUCUACGGACCAAGGUGGGGGCUCUUCGGACCUCAUGCUAUCGGAUGAACCCAGGUGGGAUUAGCUAGUUGGUGAGGUAAUGGGCUCACCAAGGCGACGAUCUCUAACUGGUUUGAGAGAAUGACCAGUCACACUGGGAACUGAAACACGGUCCAGACUCCUACGGGAGGCAGCAGUGGGGAAUAUUGCACAAUGGGCGCAAGCCUGAUGCAGCCAUGCCGCGUGUGUGAAGAAGGCCUUCGGGUUGUAAAGCACUUUCAGCGGGGAGGAAGGGCUACUAGUUAAUACCUAGUGGCAUUGACGUUACUCGCAGAAGAAGCACCGGCUAACUCCGUGCCAGCAGCCGCGGUAAUACGGAGGGUGCAAGCGUUAAUCGGAAUUACUGGGCGUAAAGCGCACGCAGGCGGUUUGUUAAGUCAGAUGUGAAAUCCCCGAGCUCAACUUGGGAACUGCAUUUGAAACUGGCAAGCUAGAGUCUUGUAGAGGGGGGUAGAAUUCCAGGUGUAGCGGUGAAAUGCGUAGAGAUAAGGAGGAAUACCGGUGGCGAAGGCGGCCCCCUGGACAAAGACUGACGCUCAGGUGCGAAAGCGUGGGGAGCAAAAA